GUAAUUUGACCGUGCUAAGGUAGCAAAAUCAUUUGUUUUUUAAUUGAAAACUGGAAUGAAAGGCUUAACAAAUGCAUAAUUUUUUAUUUAAAAUAACUAAAAUUUUUAUUUUUUGUAAGAAUACAUAAAUAUUUAAAAGGGACGAUAAGACCCUAAAAGCUUUAUUAUUUAAAUUUUUAUUAUUAUUUUAAUUUGACUAUUUAAUGUAUUUUAACUGGGGCGGUUGUUUUUAUAACAAAAGUUUUUUUUACAAGUAGGUUAAAAGGUCCUUAAAAUUAGGAUAGGUUGUUUAAGUUACUUUAGGGGUAACAGCGUAAUAAUAAUAGGGAGACCUUAUUUAUAUUAUUGAUUGCGACCUCGAUGUUGAAUUAAAUAUUUCCAUAUAAAGCAGAAAUUAUGUGUGAUAAGUUUGUUCAACU
rnacentral:rRNA from 1 species